ensembl:misc_RNA Y_RNA Y RNA
GGCUAGUCCAAGUACACAGGUGUUUAUAACUAAUUGAUCACAGCCAGUUAUAGAUUUCUGUGUUCCCCCUCCACUCCUACUGCUUCACACCACUAGCUUAAA